UGCUGGGCUUUAACUGACGCUGAGGCACGAAAGCGUGGGUAGCAAACAGGAUUAGAUACCCUGGUAGUCCACGCUGUAAACGAUGAUUACUAGGUGUGGGGGGACUGACCCCUUCCGUGCCGGAGUUAACACAAUAAGUAAUCCACCUGGGGAGUACGGCCGCAAGGUUGAAACUCAAAGGAAUUGACGGGGGCCCGCACAAGCAGUGGAGUAUGUGGUUUAAUUCGAAGCAACGCGAAGAACCUUACCAGGUCUUGACAUCCAACUAACGAAGUAGAGAUACAUCAGGUGCCCUUCGGGGAAAGUUGAGACAGGUGGUGCAUGGUUGUCGUCAGCUCGUGUCGUGAGAUGUUGGGUUAAGUCCCGCAACGAGCGCAACCCUUGCUAUUAGUUGCUACGCAAGAGCACUCUAAUAGGACUGCCGUUGACAAAACGGAGGAAGGUGGGGACGACGUCAAAUCAUCAUGCCCCUUAUGACCUGGGCUACACACGUACUACAAUGGCCAUCAACAGAGGGAAGCAAAACAGCGAUGUGGAGCAAACCCCUAAAAAUGGUCUCAGUUCAGAUGCAGGCUGCAACCCGCCUGCAUGAAGUCGGAA
rnacentral:rRNA from 1 species